UAGAAAAUUUAAAAGGGACAGACAUUUUUAUUAACUUUAGUUUUACAACAACUACAAAUUUUCCCUCUUAAGUUAAAAAAAAAAAAAAGUGUUUCUAUCUGUAUCUCUCCAUCCUACUCCCACGUGCCCCAGAAAAUUAGUCCAGGAUGGAGACAAGACAAUUCAAGAAAAGGAGUGUACAUUCACUCAAGAUAUCUUCCAAUGUUUCUCUAAAGAAUCACUGUCCUGCUACGUCCAGAGGAGCCUAGAUACCUAUAUUUGCUGGCAUCAUCAGUAACAUUUGAUAUAAAGGUCAUCAUCAUCAUGGAAGCCUCUGUUCCAGCUAUGUUUGACAAGAAGUGGAUAAAUACAGUCUUCUCCCUAGGAAAAAAUGACCUGAAGUGACAUUUGAAGACAUGCUGGAUCUGACACCAAGAAUUUUUACCCAGAGCAUCCAGAAAGAAUGUCAUCAAAGAGUUAAAAAAAAAAAAAAAAGAAAAGAAAAGAAAAAGAGAGAGCAAAAGCUGAGAAACAAAGCCAGAAUGUAAAACUAUAGAACAGUACCAACAAUAAGGAGGACAGAGCAGACAAGAAUCAAGCCAGGAAGAGAAACAAAUCAGAAAGUUUUAUUGACAGUAGGUCAAGGCAAAGAAUUUAGGAUGCUAGCAAUGAACAAGAGAGUACGAGUGUGGAAGACUCUAUCGGUUGCUUACACUAUGGUGCUUGAGUACAACAGUGCCCAUUCUGUGACCUGUACUCAAGAAUGGAAAUAUCGUAUUGAUCAAUGAUUAUUAUUUUUUAUUUUAACAUGGAAUCUCCUCUGUUUUAUGUGGUAAAAGUACAUUGAUUUCAAGGUAUCCUAGCAAUCAAUCCAUAUGAACUAUGAAUAAAUUACUUUUAAAUUAA